CUCCAUGAGCCCCGUACCUGCUCCAUGCUAAGUGCCCUGGGCUCCCCAGCCAAGUCGGCGUUAGAGGCAGGAAAUUAACGACCCGGCGAGCACGAGCGAGAGAAGCGACUUCAUCUCCAGCUGCGGAAGGAGGGGACUCUCCCAGGGACGGAUCCCUCCGCCCCAGCCCUCGGCCUGCACCGCCCGGUAUCUCGUGCCUCCGGACUAGCGGCCCCCCGAGUCCUUUUAAAAGGGACCAUUAAAUAAGAGUCCCUCCCGAAAGCAGGAGCAGAAGUGGGCAGCUCGGUCAUCCAGGAGUUUCGACCCACCUCGCUGGCCCCCAGCCCAGCCCAGCCCAGCCCAGCCAGCGGACUCCAGGAACAUCCCGCCCACACUCCCCAAUGGAGUAAUCCCGCCGACUCCAAACCCAGCCAUAGUGGUUGUCCAGAUUGGCCAAUCGGACCACCUUCAACAUUUCCACCCAGGUGAAAAUCCCCAGGUACUGGAGAGCAGAAGAAAGGCAACAGUAAUCAGCUGUAGGCUUCAGAAAAGUCAAGGCAGGAGGGCACAGCCCAUGGAAAUGGCAAGCAAAAACUUCGAAGGCUCAGAACCAGCAGUCCAGCACCGACACUCUGACCUUCACCCUCUGUGUCAGCAUCCAGGGGAGUCUUCCAGAGGAAACUGACGCUCACCAAGAGGAAAUGUAAAGAGACAGCUUUGCCAUUCCUCAGCCAAGACCCCAGUCAGUCUCUCCAGAGGGAAGCCCCAGCACAAGCCCACCCAGCCCCAAGCUGCCUCCCUCGAGCUCAUUUGAGCCCUUCAGACAACCCUGAAGAGAAAACCCAACAAGACAACCACCAGGGUAGGGGCAGGUGAGGGGGGAUCUUUGAAGAAACAGACUUAGGCAAGGAGGAGAAAAUAUCAGAAAUAGCCGUAUUUAAUAUCCUCGAAGAGAUCAGAGGAGAUAUUGCAUCCCAGAACCAAGAGCAGGAUGCUAUUUUAAGGAGAACAUUUAGAGAACAAAAAGGGCUGGGAAAUUAAAAGCAUGAGAGCCGAAACAAAAAAAAAAAAACUCAACAGACUGGUUGGAA